rnacentral:rRNA from 1 species
GGGUCGGUAGGUUGGUCGUGCCACCGGUACGUACUGGUCUCACUGAUUCCUCCUUCCUGAAGAACCGUAAUGCCAUUAAUUUGGUGUUGCGGGGAAACAGGACUGUUACUUUGAAAAAAUUAGAGUGUUUAAAGCAAGCUAACGCUUGAAUACAUUAGCAUGGAAUAAUGAAAUAGGACGAUCGAUCCUAUUUUGUUGGUUUCCAGGAUUGACGUA